rnacentral:rRNA from 1 species
UACGGAGGGUGCGAGCGUUGUCCGGAAUCACUGGGCGUAAAGGGCGCGUAGGCGGCCUGGCAAGUCGAUGGUGAAAGCCCGAGGCUCAACUUCGGGUCGGCCACUGAUACUGCUAGGCUUGAGUCGACUAGAGGCAGAUGGAAUUCCGGGUGUAGCGGUGGAAUGCGCAGAUAUCAGGAGGAACACCAAUAGCGAAGGCAGCUCGCUGGGACGGUACUGACGCUAAGGCGCGAAAGCGUGGGGAGCGAACAGG